rnacentral:rRNA from 1 species
AACGUGGGUAACCUGCCUUAUAGUGGGGGAUAGCCUUUCGAAAGGAAGAUUAAUACCGCAUAAGAUUGUAGUAUCGCAUGAUAUAGCAAUUAAAGGAGCAAUCCGCUAUAAGAUGGACCCGCGUCGCAUUAGCUAGUUGGUGAGGUAAUGGCUCACCAAGGCGACGAUGCGUAGCCGACCUGAGAGGGUGAUCGGCCACAUUGGACUGAGACACGGCCCAGACUCCUACGGGAGGCAGCAUG